rnacentral:lncRNA from 1 species
AUACACGAUAACAGAUUAGGUUUAUAUGAUUUCAAAGGAUGAUAUCGUCCCAAGUCACAGGCCUAUAGAGAUAAGUUGAACCAAGCAUAUCUAUGAAGCCUUGAGAGAACCAAAAACAAUAACAAAGAAUCUAAAGUUAAAACAAGAAAAAAUCAAGCUCAACCAUAUGAUGCCGCCUCAUACAAAGGCCACUGAAACAGAUAAAGGAUAAAAUCGAUACGAGUAUUAAAUCGUGGGGGCUUGCACACCAAGAGAAUUCAUGACAACAAGUCUAAAUCAUCAUUUAUAUUUACAUAAUCAAAUCAAACCACAGUGAUGAGGGAUUUAAUCUACUCCGCCAAAAUUUAGCUACAACUCUCUCUACAGAUACCAACAUAAUAACCCAUUAACACCUCUCCAAUUAAAUAGGUCUAACACUAAACCUCCUCUACCCCUCACCAACUACACCCUUCUAUCCCUACAAAACUGUUGUCACUGCUUUUGCUACAUUUCUGAAACAUCCUAAAAGACAGAUUAAUCUUUUAAUCAAAGAAACAUAUGGUGAAUCACAAGAAUUACAUUUACAGUCAA